rnacentral:rRNA from 1 species
UCGAGCGAGGACUUCGGUUCUAGCGGCGGACGGGUUAGUAACGCGUGGGAACGUGCCCUUUUCUACGGAAUAGCCUCGGGAAACUGAGAGUAAUACCGUAUACGCCCUUAGGGGGAAAGAUUUAUCGGAGAAGGAUCGGCCCGCGUUAGAUUAGAUAGUUGGUGGGGUAAUGGCCUACCAAGUCUACGAUCUAUAGCUGGUUUGAGAGGAUGAUCAGCAACACUGGGACUGAGACACGGCCCAGACUCCUACGGGAGGCAGCAGUGGGGAAUCUUAGACAAUGGGCGCAAGCCUGAUCUAGCCAUGCCGCGUGAGUGAUGAAGGCCUUAGGGUCGUAAAGCUCUUUCGCCUGUGAAGAUAAUGACUGUAGCAGGUAAAGAAACCCCGGCUAACUCCGUGCCAGCAGCCGCGGUAAUACGGAGGGGGUUAGCGUUGUUCGGAAUUACUGGGCGUAAAGCGCGCGUAGGCGGACAUUUAAGUCAGGGGUGAAAUCCCGGGGCUCAACCCCGGAACUGCCCUUGAUACUGGGUGUCUUGAGUUCGAGAGAGGUGAGUGGAAUUCCGAGUGUAGAGGUGAAAUUCGUAGAUAUUCGGAGGAACACCAGUGGCGAAGGCGGCUCACUGGCUCGAUACUGACGCUGAGGUGCGAAAGUGUGGGGAGCAAACAGGAUUAGAUACCCUGGUAGUCCACACCGUAAACG